rnacentral:sRNA from 1 species
AUAAGGCAACUGGGAAGCGUCUGGCUUCCCGUGUAUGAUUGAACCCGCAUGGCGCGUCGCGAUUUGGCAGCGGGCCUGAUUCGGGUUCAUUUUUUG